rnacentral:rRNA from 1 species
GAUGAACGCUGACAGAAUGCUUAACACAUGCAAGUCGAUGGGGAAGUGGUGCUUGCACCAUGGCAACCAUGGCGGACGGGUGAGUAACGCGUAAGGGACUUACCUGCAGGACUGGGAUAACAGGGGGAAACUCCUGACAAGACCGGAUAAUGUCAUGGAGCUGCGUGGCUUUAUGAUGAAAGGAGACGCCUGCGGAGAGCCUUGCGUCCUAUUAGCUAGUUGGUGAGGUAAUGGCUCACCAAGGCGAAGAUAGGUAGCCGGCCUGAGAGGGUGGACGGCCACAAGGGGACUGAGAUACGGCCCUUACUCCUACGGGAGGCAGCAGUGGGGAAUAUUGGACAAUGGGGGCAACCCUGAUCCAGCAAUUCUGUGUGCACGAAGAAGGUUUUCGGAUUGUAAAGUGCUUUCAGCAGGGAAGAAGUAAGUGACGGUACCUGCAGAAGAAGCGACGGCUAAAUACGUG